rnacentral:rRNA from 1 species
AGGGGAUUGCCUUAGUAGCGGCGAGUGAAGCGGCAAAAGCUCAAAUUUGAAAUCUGGCGCCUUCGGUGUCCGAGUUGUAAUUUGAAGAUUGUAACCUUGGGGUUGGCUCUUGUCUAUGUUUCUUGGAACAGGACGUCACAGAGGGUGAGAAUCCCGUGCGAUGAGAUGCCCAAUUCUAUGUAAGGUGCUUUCGAAGAGUCGAGUUGUUUGGGAAUGCAGCUCUAAGUGGGUGGUAAAUUCCAUCUAAAGCUAAAUAUUGGCGAGAGACCGAUAGCGAACAAGUACAGUGAUGGAAAGAUGAAAAGAACUUUGAAAAGAGAGUGAAAAAGUACGUGAAAUUGUUGAAAGGGAAGGGUUUGAGAUCAGACUCGAUAUUUUGUGAGCCUUGCCUUCGUGGCGGGGUGACCCGCAGCUUAUCGGGCCAGCAUCGGUUUGGGCGGUAGGAUAAUGGCGUAGGAAUGUGACUUUACUUCGGUGAAGUGUUAUAGCCUGCGUUGAUGCUGCCUGCCUAGACCGAGGACUGCGAUUUUAUCAAGGAUGCUGGCAUAAUGAUCCCAAACCGCCCGUCUUGAAAAAAAAAAA